AGCCCUGCAUUUCACUCCAUUCCAGGGUUUCUGGGACACCCGAGAAAGCACGUAGUCCAGGGAGCACGUCUGCCAACUGAAGGCCUUGACAAAUGACUUUCUGUACUGGCUGAGGGCCAGGGCCCAGCGUACUGAUAAGGAAGCUCUUCCAGAAAAAGGGUUGAUUUACAGAGGAAUGAAUCUGCAGGAAAGUUUACCAACAAGAUCCCUGCCUGCCUUUUGCAGGCUCUCCUGCAACCAUCUACUUCAUUUUUGAUCUCAGGAAGACCAGAGCUGAGGAGACGAGUUUCCUAAGGGCACGAGUCCAGCAAAUUCAGGUUCCCUUAGGUGACGCAGCUAGGCCAAGUCACCUUCUUACCUCCCAGCUACCUCUCAUGUGGCAACUCUACCCGGAGGAGCGCUACAUGGAUAACAACUCUCGCUUGUGGCAGAUACAGCAUCAUUUAAUGGUCAGGGGAGUACAGGAGCUGUUGCUUAAGCUUUUGCCUGAUGACUAACCUGGUGCUGGGAUUCUACGAAGAUAUGCUCCUUUGUUCUGUUCAGUAUUUGGCAAUCACUUCAUCCACUACUGCAGUGCACCCACCCUUGGGCCUGGGGGGAGGGAGUGGGUUGAAAAACUGCUCAAGAAACAGAAGUUUAGCAAGGGUCAUGAAGAAUACUGCAAGUGAAACUGCAGAGAGAGGUUACGUAGGCAGAAAGCAAGUCAACAAAAGCACUUAGUCAGGAUCCGUAACUUGA
rnacentral:sRNA from 1 species